GCGGGGGUCAUAGAGCUGGGGUGCGGCAGCGCAUGUUUAGGACAGGAGCAGAAGGCCUGCUUCUGCCGUUUUCAUGCACUGCCUCUUCCCUGGCUCCUUCACUCCUCGC
rnacentral:pre_miRNA from 1 species